UUCGGGCACAGCUGUGGAUCC
rnacentral:siRNA from 1 species